GACGAACGCUGGCGGCGUGCUUAACACAUGCGAGUCGAACGGAAAGGCCCUGCUUUUGUGGGGUGCUCGAGUGGCGAACGGGUGAGUAACACGUGAGUAACCUGCCCUUGACUUUGGGAUAACUUCAGGAAACUGGGGCUAAUACCGGAUAGGAGCUCCUGCUGCAUGGUGGGGGUUGGAAAGUGUCGGCGGUUGGGGAUGGACUCGCGGCUUAUCAGCUUGUUGGUGGGGUAGUGGCUUACCAAGGCUUUGACGGGUAGCCGGCCUGAGAGGGUGACCGGGCAAAGUGGGAAUGAGAUACGGCCCAGAGUCCUACGGGAGGCAGCAGUAGGGGAUGUUGCACAAUGGGCGGAAGCCUGAUGCAGCAACGCCGCGUGCGGGAUGGUGGCCUUCGGGUUGUAAACCGCUAUCGCCGGUGACGAAGCGUGAGUGACGGUAAUGGGUAAAGAAGCACCGGCUAACUACGUG
rnacentral:rRNA from 1 species